UUGAUCUGUUGAAGAUGUCGCUCCAGGCUCCUUUGGGGGGCUCCUCCUCCGAGUGCCGCAGGUCUGCGGUAUGGCGAAUCCAGUGGGCUGCUGUGCGGCUCGCCGCUGAGGUUUGCCGGGCAAAGUAUUUGCUUGACGUGAUUCGCCGCGACCUUCUGCACUGGAUCUUCUUGCCAGGGUAUUGGCUUCUUCUACCUGAAACUUUUCUAUGCCUUUGCUAUUCUAUAAGUUGAAGAACAUUCUAGCGUUCUAUAGAUUGUUCAUUUUAGUUCUAUAGCUUGUGUUCUAUAGAUUCUGCAAAGUUUAAGAACAUUGCCUCAAAAACAUUCUAUUCUGCUGGGCAGAAUUCAGACCCAGCAUUCCAAUGUAUCUUGCUCUAGCAAAAUUACUACUAUAUCUAACCAAUUUCUGAUGUGUAAACAUGUCCAGAACUACCUUUUUUCGAUGCUAGAUAUGGUUAGGUUCCACGAUUGUAUGGUCCUCGUUGGUUUAUGUUUCUGCUUCUAUGCAAUGUUUGGUGCCAAUUACUAACCAGCUGGGAUUCGAUUUUCGCCUUUAGGGUGAGGAACAGACAGUUGAGAUCCCAUGGUCAGUGAUACUUGAGAAGGUUAUGAAGGCCCUGCCAGCAAAAAAAGUUCCAGAUUAUCAUUGGGUUGUGUCUGGGCCUUCCACUUUCCAUGUCUGUGUUGAAAUAGACAUCACAGGCACAACGGUAGCAGUUGAGUUAGUAGUAAAUGUGCCGUGAGUUCUUGGCGAUGUUUGUAGCUCACUGCAUGAAGCUCACCUGUAUGCUAUGACAAAAAACUUCAGGUACCCAGAGAAGAAAUAUUCAUCCGUAUCACAAACUACAGCAGCAAAUAAGCUUCAGACUAUGAAGAUAGAGCUGUUUUUGGCCAUGUGAAUGACUGUUCUUAUACAGUUGAAAAGGUUCUUUGCGAGUGGGGCGUAGUGCUGGAUGCCAUUAGCAAAUUCCAUUCUGAGCUGGCCAGUUUGGGAAUGUCCAAGACUGUGGACGGGGUCAUUUAUGCAGCUGGAGGGGUGUAUUCUGAAACUAGAAAAUUCGUUGGGUCAGUAAUCACUACGCACAUGGACAAACACCUUGUGCAACUUACCUUGAGAUGAGGGAAUAUGAGACCCAGUGCACGUGUUCCAGCUCUAUGCAAAUGCUUAUGAAUAUGAGACCCAGUGCCGUGUACAAAGACUCUUCCAAAAAGACAAAUGCUUAUAUUCUGAAGACGUACAAGCAGAAAGUGCAUUUCUCAGCCAAGGAUGUUCUCGAUUAUGUGGUGAAGUACUUUGGGCUCAAGUCUGUGGACUUGGAGGAAAAGGAUGCUUCUUUUUUACUGGCUUGAGAAUGGAGUUGAGAUAUGGGGUGAUCUCACAAGGUUUGGGUGCAUUAUGAAUACCUCAGCACCAGUCUCGCUACUGGGGUACAACAUAUAGAUGCAGCUAUCACAAAAGGGUGAAUUCACAUCAACCCUGGUCGAUGCUAUCACGAGAACAAGCAUUCAGGCCGAUGAUCUGGCUCACGAGGGCAAGCCGAGAAGAAAACAAAUUGAAAAAAGAACGUAUAAAAUUUGGGAAAAAAACACUGAGGUUUUGUAGGAGUUGGUGCUGAACCGCAAAAAGUACCUGCAGUCUGAUGAGAUGUUUCGCUACAUGUUUAUUUGGGACACAUUGACAAGAACAUAAUCCACACUUUUUUACCCCUGAUCAGCUCACUAGUCCUGUGUUGUAGUACCAUGGCAAGGGGUCCUGCUAUUUCUGGGAUUUCCAAAAGAAGUUGGUUAUUGUCCUUGAUCCUUUGAGGAUGGGGACGAGGUCAGAACAGGUUGAGAUGCACCAUGAGCAUUUGUUCCAUUACUUGACACAUCAUGGUAUUUCAGGGUUGCUGACGCCUUGUGUCUGGGUCUUGAUUUCAGUUAUGAUUCCGGGUUGUACUCGGUUUUGUAUUCGUGUUAAUUUGAUGGGGAAAUGAUGGUCUGUGACCCUAGACAGGGGGUACUGCCCGAGCCAAGGACAGCAAUCUUCUACCAUCUCCUGCGCAUGAAAGGCAAUAGCGGUGACAUACCUAUUCAGAUCAAAGACAUAGUUACAAAGAUCUGCUGAUCAGGAACCCAUAAAGGGCCAUUUUGAUGGAUGGUUCCGCUGUGAUGGCGGAACGUUCUUCCUUAAUUUGAAAUGUUGUUCAGGCUGGAGUUAGUCGAGUUUUGCUGCAGUAGUCUCAUUUUGCUUUCGAACUGCAGUUUGACUAGGUGCCUGAAAGCACUCUCUUUGGCCAGCGUGUGAACUGUGCUUGGAAAAAACUGUACAUGGCUCCUUGCGUGCAGAUGCAAAAAUGGCGGGCAUGGUGAUUUUGCUCCAUUAGUUUCGUUUCUCUUUUGAACUGCACAUUGAUUAUGCAUAUCAGAACAUUGACUAGGUGCCUAAAAAGUAUUGGGAUA